rnacentral:lncRNA from 1 species
GCGAGGUCUGGCAAUGCGAGUAGUACGUGAUGCCGAACGUCACAUGAUCACAACUGAGCCAAUGGUUAGCAGUGAUUCCGUUAGUGAUAGUGAAAGUCAUCCUACACAACCCUCCUCUCCCAUCUGCCUCACACCAGCCAUGAAGAUUUUCAAAGACUGAAAGGGUCUCGGGGACCCACAGUGGUCAGCAGACCACAUUUGGAGAAUCAUGAACAGAUGGAGAGUUUAAACUGAUGGAAUUGAUGUGUGCAGAUCUGUGCC